ACAAUGCGCGAACUAUAAACAACUUCAUUGUUUUGCGAAAACAUGAAAUAAGCUAGCGUUUUAAAUUUGUUUUUCAAAGUUGCAAAAUACUCGACAAGAGGAAAAUUAGAUAUCAACGUUUGAUAAAACAAGAUGUCAAACGAAUUUCCACGUAAUUUUAUGUUUCCUACGAAAGUAAUCCAUGUUCGAUCCACCUGAGCCACCUCCAUUAAGUUUCCUACCUACAUUAAUUCACAUCUGAAUUUAUCCCUGCUGCAACGCCGCGUCCGCGUUACUGGGCGGGAGGUUGAGGGAAAAAAUACCUAGAGAGGUUCGACCUAAUUAUCCAAGGGAUAAUCUUCCAUGGCUAGCACGAACCCUGGUAUGCAUUGCAAAUACACGGAGAACGAAGAAGAUGGGAC